rnacentral:lncRNA from 1 species
AAAAAGUUAAGAUUUUGUAUAAAAAAAGGUUGAAGAAUAAAAAUAUACAAAAAAAUAUGAUUUGGUUCAUUUACUCCAUUCAAACAAUAACACUCAUUGAUUCAAAGCAAAUAUAUGAACACAUAAAUUGAAAAUUGAAAAAAAUGCAAUGUGUUUUUUGGGAAAUAAUAUAUCAUAUAUCCUAUUUUUUCUAUGAAUAAAAUGAUAUAUCCUCUUGCAAUGGAAAGAAAAUGAUAUAUUUAAUAUAGUUAGGGUUUAGAGGAAGUUAGUAUAAUUAAUACUAAAUUAGUAAGUCAUGCAUGCCUCUUAUUCCGAUAUAAAUAAACUGCUCCGUCAAUAAAAGAUAUCAAUUAGUAAUAAUAAUUUUCAUCCCGAUAUUCAUUCUCUACCUCGUUUGUAUAACCAUCCCCAAUUCAAAUGUUGUGGCGCUCGAUACGAUUUUGAUGAACCAACAAAAAUCGAGAAUAACCCCGAGACGCAGCAGGAGUUUUUGAAAAUAUCUCGUGGGCCAUUGCUACCGAAUCAAAAUGUAAAGAGUCCAAAUCACACUGAUUUGUGUUAUUGGGGUGACAUAAAUUUCUUUCCCACACCAUGAAUUCCGAUCAUUAGGCUGAUGCAAACUUGUUUCCCUUGUCAUGUCAAAGGAAGGACGGUCGAAUAGAUUCCGAUCAAUAGGCUGAUGCAAACUUGUUUCCAGUGUCAUGUCAAAGGAAGGAUGGCCAAAUUGAUUCUGAUUAUUAGACUGAUACAAACUUCUUUCCCUUGGCAUGUCAAAGGUAGAAUGCUGAAAUUGAUUUUGAUUAUUGGACAAAUAUUUCAACCAGUUUUCCCUCACCGUGUCAAAGAAAGAAGGCUUGAAUGGAUUCCAUUCUCCAUUUAUUGGAGAUAACUCAUUAACAAGAUUUGUUGAAUUUUGUUGAUUGGACAAAUAUUUUAACCAAUUUUCUCUCACCGUGUCAAAGAAAGAAGGCUUGAAUGGAUUCCAUUCUCCAUCUGUUGGAGAUAACUCAUUAACAAGAUUUGUUGUAGAUUUUGGGUGUUGAAUCGUGCAUUUUGCAUUUCUUGAUGCUUCUUCUUGAAUUUGAAUGUUGAUGUCUGUGGAAGGACGGUCGAAUUGAUUCCGAUCAUUAGGCUGAUGCAAACUUGUUUCCCUUGGCAUGUCAAAGGUAGAAUGCUGAAAUUGAUUUUGAUUAUUGGACAAAUAUUUCAACCAGUUUUCCCUCACCGUGUCAAAGAAAGAAGGCUUGAAUGGAUUCCAUUCUCCAUCUAUUUGAGAAAACUCAUUAGAAAGAUUUGUUGUAGAUUUUGGGUGUUGCAUCGUGUAUCUUGCAUUUCUUGAUGCUUCUUCUUGAAUUUGAAUGUUGAUGUUUGUGGAAGGACGCUCGAAUUGAUUCCGAUCAUUAGGCUGAUGCAAACUUGUUUCCCGUGUUAUGUCAAAGGAAGGACGGUCGAAUUGAUUCUGAUCAUUAGACUGAUAUAAACUUCUUUCCCUUGCCAUAUCAAAGGUAGAAUACUGAAAUUGAUUUUGAUUAUUGUACAAAUAUUUCAACCAGUUUUCCCUCACCGUGUCAAAGAAAGAAGGCUUGAAUGGAUUCCAUUCUCCAUCUGUUGGAGAUAACUCAUUAACAAGAUUUGUUGUAGAUUUUGGGUGUUGUAUCGUGUAUCUUGCAUUUCUUGAUGCUUCUUCUUGAAUUUGAAUGUUGAUGUUUGUGGAAGGACGCUCAAAUUGAUUUCGAUCAUUAGGCUGAUGCAAACUUGUUUCCCGUGUUAUGUCAAAGGAAGGACGGUCGAAUUGAUUCUGAUCAUUAGACUGAUAUAAACUUCUUUCCCUUGCCAUAUCAAAGGUAGAAUGCUGAAAUUGAUUUUGAUUAUUGGACAAAUAUUUCAACCAGUUUUCCCUCACCGUGUCAAAGAAAGAAGGCUUGAAUGGAUUUUAUCUUCAUUUAUUGGAGAUAACUCAUUAACAAGAUUUGUUGAAUUUUGUUGAUUGGACAAAUAUUUUAACCAAUUUUCUCUCACCGUGUCAAAGAAAGAAGGCUUGAAUGGAUUCCAUUCUCCAUCUGUUGGAGAUAACUCAUUAACAAGAUUUGUUGUAGAUUUUGGGUGUUGAAUCGUGCAUUUUGCAUUUCUUGAUGCUUCUUCUUGAAUUUGAAUGUUGAUGUCUGUGGAAGGACGGUCGAAUUGAUUCCGAUCAUAAUUAGACUGAUGCAAACUUGUUUCCCUUGGCAUGUCAAAGGUAGAAUGCUGAAAUUGAUUUUGAUUAUUGGACAAAUAUUUCAACCAGUUUUCCCUCACAGUGUCAAAGAAAGAAGGCUUGAAUGGAUUCCAUUCUCCAUCUAAUGAAGAUAACUCAUUAGAAAGAUUUGUUGUAGAUUUUGGGUGUUGCAUCGUGUAUCUUGCAUUUCUU